rnacentral:rRNA from 1 species
CCUACGGGAGGCAGCAGUGGGGAAUAUUGCACAAUGGGGGAAACCCUGAUGCAGCAACGCCGCGUGAGUGAAGAAGUAUUUCGGUAUGUAAAGCCCUAUCAGCAGGGAAGAAGAUGACGGUACCUGAAUAAGAAGCCCCGGCUAACUACGUGCCAGCAGCCGCGGUACUACGUAGGGGGCAAGCGUUAUCCGGAUUUACUGGGUGUAAAGGGAGCGCAGACGGCAGGGCAAGUCUGGAGUGAAAGCCCGGGGCUCAACCCCGGAACUGCUCUGGAAACUGUGCGGCUAGAGUACUGGAGGGGCAGGCGGAAUUCCUAGUGUAGCGGUGAAAUGCGUAGAUAUUAGGAGGAACACCAGUGGCGAAGGCGGCCUGCUGGACAGUAACUGACGUUGAGGCUCGAAAGCGUGGGGAGCAAACAGGAUUAGAUACCCUUGUAGUC